GCCAGUGUAAAAUACCAUUAGGGUAAUUCAGCAUAGCUUCCCUAGUUUGGGAUGAUACAUUUUUUAAGGAGAUAUAUGCCAUAUAUCAUUCCACACAUUCUAUGCUAUCAGGCCCAAGCUUCCCUAAGACUUGUCGGUGUGGUCCUUAGAUUUCUGAUGCCUCUGUGCUUCCUGAAUUCUGGUUGAGAUGAGGAUGCAGUUGUGUUGGCUAGGUGAUGGGAAAGUGCUACACAGCUGUACCUUGGAAGUUGAACGGAAUCCAUGCUGGAAGUCCGUUUGACUUCCAAAACAUUAAAAAACCAAAGUGCAGCUUUGGAAGCUGUGGAAGCCCUGUCGGACAUUCAGCUUCCAAAAAUAGUUCGCAAACCAGAACAGGGUUUGCGGUGUUGGGGAGCCAAAACAUUCGAGAACUAAGCUGUUUGAAAACCAAGGUAUGACUGUAUUUGUGGGACCAGCUAUGGUGAGGUUGGGGAAAUUUUAGUGCUGAAAGAGGGAGCCAAGGAGUCAUCCAAGCUGCCCCAUGCAGGUAGGUCUCCAGUGACAACAAAUUUUUAUGUUUCGUGCGCAGGGGCUGUUUUGCUUGUUGGCACAUCAGGCAGCUCCUGCAGACCAGUGAUGGCUUUAACUAUACAACACCUCUCCACCUUGGCCUUGCCAGAACUUAAUUGUAUCCAAUACAGGGCUGUGUGUGGAGAGGUGAUAAUUGUCCGAUUAAUCAAACACAGAUAAAUGCCCAACAGCAUUUAAUCAUCUUGAACGAAGUCUCUCUUAAUUGAAAAUGGAAAUUGUAUCUGAUUCAGUGCGGAAACGGGAUUGAUUCUGGUUCUACUGCAGACAGGGAUCUUGGGGGGGGGGUAUGGAUGCCAUUCUCUGCAACAUACACUUUUUGUGAUAAAAAUAAGUCUCAUUUCUCCUGAAACAGGGUGUCUGAUGCUUUGAAGUUCUGUUCGGUUCCUCUUUAAACUCCCCAUUCCCUCCCAGGCUAGCUGGAAUUAAAUAUGUUACGGUUAUUUGCAUUACUAGAGUCCUGAAUGUGUUUAUUUUUAGCUCAGAAUCUCAUGUAUUAAGAACGAGAGUAUGCACAUCCCUGAUCAUAUUUAAGGUAGCACAAAUUAUUAUAUUUGUUGUAAAUUCUCUAAUUUCCAUUUUUCCUUGGAAAGCCAAGAGUGUGCACAAGGAUUUCCCAGUGGUCUCCAAUCCAGGUACAGAGCUUCACCAAUUCUAUAGCGCUGGGUACACCUAGACCAUUUACUGGGCUAAUCUGCUUAGUUGGCUAUGCCUUGAUGCCAUUGGUUUUUUUAAACUUCCCUCCUUCAAAGAACCCUUUGCACGUCAGGAAUUCCUGUGCGUUGCAGAGGGAAUGGCGUAGCAUUCUGGGGAGCCUCCUAAGAUGCAUGCUGUGUUCAUAUGGGGCACUGAUUAGACCUCUCGGGCCCUCCCCAUUGUCCCAUGUGAACCGAGAGUGCAUCCCAGUGCAGAGUCAAGCCCCUUUUGUGGGCUGCAUGUUGCUGGAGGGGGCAGUUGUGACAGGGAGAGAAGCCAGAGGCUGCCUUUCAGAGAAGCUUCUCUGACACAACUGAUCUUCUAAUUAAGGAACAUUGAUUAUGCUCCUGAGGAACCACAGGUUCCUUUAAUGAGUGUCAGGUUCAUUUGGGGGCAUAUGAACCUGUGUUGCUUUGGAACAGCCUUUGCUGACCUUUAUAGGCAUAGGAGCACAACUGUCACAGGAACCUACAAAUAUCCAUUUCAUCUGGGGAGGGGAGGAAUUGGUUAUGCUCAGAACUACCUCCACCCCACAAAAAAGAGGCAACCCUCCCCAUAAAAUAGAUAAAAGCAGGAUUAUCCCCCUCCUCAAGCAGACAACCCCUACCUAGU